CAGCAGCCGCGGGAAUACGUAGGGUGCAAGCGUUGUCCGGAACUAUUGGGCGUAAAGAGCUCGUAGGCGGUCUGUCACGUCGGCUGUGAAAACCUGGGGCUCAACCCCGGGCCUGCAGCCGAUACGGGCAGACUAGAGUUCGGCAGGGGAGACUGGAAUUCCUGGUGUAGCGGUGAAAUGCGCAGAUAUCAGGAGGAACACCGGUGGCGAAGGCGGGUCUCUGGGCCGAUACUGACGCUGAGGAGCGAAAGCGUGGGGAGCAAACAGGAUUAGAUACCCCCGUAGUCCCUGUCUCUUAUAC
rnacentral:rRNA from 1 species